rnacentral:hammerhead_ribozyme from 1 species
AUCCAGUGACGAGUCCGAAAUAGGACGAAAUCGCAUCCUGGAU